GUAUUGAAGAAGAAACUUGCCGUUUCUCACCUUACAGCAAAGCUAGUAAGGUUAAAGAUAUGCAGCUUAUUUUGCUAUGUAUAUUUGAGACGGUGAAUAACCGUCUUUUUUUAUUAUA
rfam:Clostridium acetobutylicum ATCC 824, complete genome.